rnacentral:rRNA from 1 species
UACGUAGGGUGCAAGCGUUGUCCGGAAUUAUUGGGCGUAAAGAGCUCGUAGGUGGCCUGUCGCGUCGGCUGUGAAAACUCGGGGCUCAACUCCGAGCUUGCAGUCGAUACGGGCAGGCUAGAGUUCGGCAGGGGAGACUGGAAUUCCUGGUGUAGCGGUGAAAUGCGUAGAUAUCAGGAGGAACACCGGUGGUGUAGACGGCUAUCUGGACCGUAACUGACGCUGAGGCACGAAAGCGUGGGUAGCAAACAGG